rnacentral:lncRNA from 1 species
CUGUAUGCUGCUUACAUAGCCUAUUAGAAAGAAAAAAAUAUAUUUACACUAUGGUGUAAUAGAGUAGCAUGCAUGGUAUUUCUAAAAUAUAUCAAUAGCAAAAUAAAAUAAACAUAAACAAAACAAAAUAAAAACAAUAAAAUAAUAAAAACAUAUUAUGAAGCACACACGUAAGUGACCGUUGCAAGAUGACUGGUGUGACGAGCGUCACACAAGCCAUCACGGUCGUCACGCAAAUGCAUGUGACGUCCGUAACACCUUCCGUCACGAGCGUGACAGCUCCAGAAUAGGUGAACAUUAGUGACCGUUGGGGACACGACCGUUACACCUCACUUUUUAUUUUCCCCAUUCAUUCACCUUUACUCCAUCCCAAUCACAUUCAUCCACAUUUAUUUUUCUUUCACCCACUCAUCUUCCAACUUCCAAAAACUUUCCCUAUAAAUACCUACACUCCAUUUCUCCCUAAAC